CGACACUUCUGUAAUAAAUGGAUAUACGAUACGGUAAUUGACCUGACUCCUGGUGUUUUAUUCUCCUUUCCAACAAACCAACUCGGGGAAGUGUUAGACUUCAACAUAUGUAUUACACAACAUCAAGUACAUGUCAAAAUGGUACUUGUCGGUCAUCGGAUUUGUCAUCAAUAUCGACACGUUGAUGCUGAUGAUUCCUGAACUGCUCAAAGUUCAGCGGUAUGUGCUCACCUACAGGUUCAGCCAAGAUCACUUGGAGCUCCUAUUUAAUUCAAUCAGAGCGUCAGGCAGCUGGAAUAACAAUCCAUCGGCAAGCCAGUUCCAAGCCAUCUUCCGCCGCUGAUGGUUCAGUGUGGUGUCUCACCUUGUUAGACAGACAAUGUGGCAGCACAGGAUAACACUGUGUCCCUGUGCGCUGUGGAGAUUUCCUGAAACUGCUGAAGAGCCCCCACUCCAUUCGCCAACAUUUCGCCCCUUGUGUAAUCUCCCCACUCGGUUUGGUGGUCUGGUGGAAAAUGCUCUGGUCUACAUAGCAGGGUUUGUAGAUGUGUGCCAUGCGAUCUUGGUCAGAGAUGCUGUACCAUCUUCAUUUGACAAGAGCUACCACCUUCUAACCCAGAAAAACAACAGUGGCCUAGUGAUUCCAUCACAAGACACAGUGCUGAGAGCUGCAGAGAGGGUGAUCCGCCAAGCUUCACCAAUACAAGCUCCUAAGGUGUUGACAGUCACACACAUCGUCGGGGAGGAGAUUGGAGCGGAGGAUGUUUUUCUGCUUCGGGAACACAUUGAGGAGACACAGUUUGGCAUUGACAACCGUCAUUCUGACUUGUUGUCAUUGGUUGUGUCUGUGUUCCUCAAAAUAAGGCUGCACCACAUUGCCAAACUAACCUCUCUUGAACUGCUGAAAGGGCGCACGAGGAAGAAGCUCUGCAAAACUGUCCUCUUUCAGGGGUUUUAGAGCGUGUGCGUGUGUGUGGUUCCACGACAGUUCAAGACUUUAAUCCUAGAUUCCGGCAUCCCCAAACGAAUUCUAAGCUUCAUAUCUGUACUUUAACCUUACUCAUCACACAUAGUAUCUUUAUGUCAUAUCUGUCAUCAUUCUGACAAGAUUAACACUGACACUGAAUACAAUGGCUUAAAACUGCCUGGAAACAAUGGUCUGUCACAUUAUAUGUGAAUACUGCUUAAGUGUUGGUGGGUCUGAAAAUACCUCUGUUUGUUUGUGUUUCAUGAACUCUACCCUCAUGGUGUGUGUCUCCAGGAAUCCAAAUGUUGGUCUCCUUUGCCUUACACUGGGUUUGUGAGAUUGUGUAUGGUGAAGUUUAUCUUUACAUUAUGUCCUUGUGUUUGUGAUUGUCUUAGCCCUGAUCUCUUUCCCUCUGGGUCCUGUAAAGCACUUUGUAAUUGUGUUUUGGAAAUUGCUAAAUUAAUUAAGUUGGCAGACUUUUCAAGGGAGUUUCAACAAAGUAAAUGUGCAGUUUAAAUAAAAACUGUCACUUUUCAUUUUAGACAGAGUACUGGGACCCGUGUGUGUAUGUUGGGAGGGGGGCUGCGAAAUGAAAGAGAGAGAGAGAGAAAGAUAUAUAUAUAUAUAUAUAUAUAUAUAUAUGACUUUACUGCCACUAUUUACACAUUAGGUGUUUCAAUCAGAAUGAUAGUCAAACUGGAAAUGUCCCUGUUUUUCUCCCUUUUUGGGGAUUAUGUUCCCAGUUUUGAUCUCGGACGUCUGGUCACUACAUAUCUUAUAUCAGACUAUUCUAUUUCUGUUAAGCCCACUAUGAAUAUUAAAAUACGCCAAGCCAUGUGUUCUGUAUCAUAACUACAUGUAUGACCUUUGCAGCAACAAAAACCGCGUGAAA
ensembl:lncRNA